CUCCAAUGGCACGGUGGGGAGGAAAAGUGCGAUCGCCCCUUUCCCCUCCUCCCCCCACCCCUCCCAUCCCAGCGCUGCACCGCACAGCUCUCAGGUUUCUGCUGAUCCUGCAGCGUCAAGAAAUGGCUCGAGUUUGCUCCUUGCUCUGCCUGUAUUCCGCAGCCGCCUCGCCUCUGCCACGCGCGUCCCGUUCCUUCCUGCUGCUGCUGCUGCUCUAGCCAGGGCGAGCCAAGAUCUGCGCCGGGGACGCAGCUGCAGGGCUGCGGCUUUCCCCCUUCUCUGCUGCUGCCCGGCUCUCUUAAGGGCACAGGCAGAAGGGGGGAGAGAGAGAGGCGCUCGCCGCGUCCGGUUUGUUUGGACGCGAUCCUUUUGGGCGGGUGUCCCUUUCUCUCCCCAUCGUCACCCGACUGGUGCCCAGCGCCGCCGAAGCUAGCAGAUGAAUAUUUCAGCAUCUCGCAGGCAGCCCUGUAAAGCGAUCUCGGCAGGGGCACAGGCGGAGGAGGAGGGUGAGUUUGCUGCUGCGCUUUUUGGAUGCUGCCGCUGCUGCUGCGACUUGACGCAUUCCGGCAGGGUCUCCCGGUCCUCGUCCCUCCAGCUGACCCGGGGGGCAGCCUCCAGCGACUGCCCCGAAGCGAGCUUUAUCCCCCAAAACCAAGAGGCGGGAGGCCAGUGGAAAUUGCUGUGUUGGCAUUGCAAGCAAUCUCAUCCCUGCCCCCCUUCUUAUUUAUUUAUUUUGGUGGUAACUCCGUGGCAGCAGCAGCAGUGAUGGUCGAGUCAGCGAGAAAAGCAGAAGGACCGCUUUAAAGGCAAAAGGAACCGGCUGGGGAGGGGAGCCCAGUCUGGGGUGUGUGAUUGACACCCCACAAACCCUUCUUCCUUGGGACACACACAGGGGACCCCUCAUGCCUCCCUCCCCUCUCCUCUUUCCCCUCUGAGGUUCUCCACCCCUUAUCCCUCCCUUUCCUGAUUCUCUCCAUCCCAGACCCCUUUCCCCUCAUCUAUUUCUCCUUCACCUUUCUGGGGUUUUCCAUCCCUGAUCCUCAUCCUCUGUCCCCCCACUUAAAGCUCUUCAUUCUGGAUCCACCAUCCCUCCUUACACCCUCUAAGGCUUUGCAUCCCAGACCCCCCAUCCUU
rnacentral:lncRNA from 1 species